CCGGAGAGAGCCGAGGAAUAGAGAGAGGGAGGGAAUGAGGGAGCAAGGGCCAGAGAGAGAUGAAGAGACAGAGAUAUGAGGGGGCGGGGGGGCGGAUAUAGAGGGAAAGUCAGAGCCAGAGAGACCAAGGAGAAUCAGAGAGAUAAGGGGGAAGAGACAGAGAUAGGAAAAGGAGGAGGAGAGAGGGAGAGACAAAGGAGGAAAAGAAGAGUCAGGGGGAAGACGCAGAGGUGAGAGACUUAGCUAGAGAGGGAAAUUGUGUGUCUGUGGGAGACACAGAACCAAGAAGGAGGAAGACUGGGACAACUAGUGGGAGAGUUAGAGUGGAGACAAAAAUGGGGAGAAGAGGGGUACCACUAGAUAGGGGGAGACAGAGGUCUACAGAGCCAGACCAGAAGAGAUCGGGGGUCAUGGAGAUGGGAACAGCGGCAGAGGAACAGAGGA
rnacentral:lncRNA from 10 species